UUUGCUGGGAUUUGAACCCUGAACCUUAAUCUUAUGUUUUGCAGCCCUCCUGCGAUAGAGAGGUUGUCGAGUGGACUGUUUCAGGAGGUAAUCAUCACAAAUACCAUUCCGGUGGCAGAACAAAACUAUUUUCCCCAGCUGACCAUCUUAUCUGUUGCAAACCUCUUGGGCGAAACGAUUUGGCGUGUCCAUGAUGACUGCGCAGGCGGCUUUGAGCCUUACUCCGGAUUGGGAAUUGAUUAGUCCUUCCUGUUCAUUGCUUGUUUUGACACUGUUGUCUGGAACUUGAAGCAGUAUGUUGAUCAGAUCCACCAAAAUUUUCGUCCAGUAACAAAGAGAGCAUUUUCUGUUGUACAAAUAUUUUGUGCGGAAUGUUACGUUGUAAAUCUUUCAAUCAGUGACUUGGAUCCAUGUAGUAGAUGAGUUUUUUGAUUAAUAUGAAGUUUACUUGAAUUGCUAUUA